GGAGGAAGCAGGGGAUCGUAAGACCUUGCGCUUUUGGAGUGGCCGAUGCCUGAUUAGCUAGUUGGUGGGGUAAGGGCCUACCAAGGCAACGAUCAGUAGUUGGUCUGAGAGGACGACCAGCCACACUGGGACUGAGACACGGCCCAGACUCCUACGGGAGGCAGCAGUGGGGAAUUUUGGACAAUGGGCGAAAGCCUGAUCCAGCAAUGCCGCGUGAGUGAAGAAGGCCUUCGGGUUGUAAAGCUCUUUCAGUCGAGAAGAAAAGGUUGUGACUAAUAAUCACAACUUAUGACGGUACCGACAGAAGAAGCACCGGCUAACUACGUGCCAGCAGCCGCGGUAAUACGUAGGGUGCGAGCGUUAAUCGGAAUUACUGGGCGUAAAGGGCGCGCAGGCGGCUUUGUAAGUCAGAUGUGAAAUCCCCGGGCUUAACCUGGGAAUUGCGUUUGAAACUACAAAGCUAGA
rnacentral:rRNA from 1 species